rnacentral:rRNA from 1 species
CCCAAGGGCUGGGCGGUUCGCCCAUAAACGCGGUACUCGAGCUGGGUUCAGAACGUCGUGAGACAGUUCGGUCCCUAUCCGUCGUGGGCGUAGGAAAUUUGAGAGGAGCUGUCCUUAGUACGAGAGGACCGGGAUGGACAUACCUCUGGUGUACCAGUUGUCGAGCCAACGGCAUAGCUGGGUAGCUAUGUAUGGACGGGAUAAGUGCUGAAAGCAUCUAAGCAUGAAGCCCCCCUCAGGAUGAGAUUU